AAUAGCUCAAAUUUGAAAGCUGGCGUCUUCGACGUCCGCGUUGUAAUUUGUAGAGGAUGCUUCGGCGAAGACUCCUGCCUAAGUCCCCUGGAACGGGGCGUCAUAGAGGGUGAGAAUCCCGUAUGUGGCGGGCAGUCUAAGCCAUGUGAAGCUCCUUCGACGAGUCGAGUUGUUUGGGAAUGCAGCUCUAAAUGGGAGGUAAAUUUCUUCUAAAGCUAAAUAUUGGCCAGAGACCGAUAGCGCACAAGUAGAGUGAUCGAAAGAUGAAAAGCACUUUGGAAAGAGAGUUAAAAAGUACGUGAAAUUGUUGAAAGGGAAGCGCUUGCAACCAGACUCGCUCGUAGUUGCUCAGCCGGCCUCUUGGCCGGUGUACUCUUCUACGAUCGGGCCAGCAUCAGUUCGGGCGGCAGGAUAAAGGUGUCGGGAAUGUAGCACCCUUCGGGGUGUGUUAUAGCCCGGCGCGGAAUGCUGCCAGCCUGGACUGAGGAUCUCGCUUCGGCAAGGAUGCUGGCGUAAUGGUUGUAAGCGGCCCGUCUUGAAACACGGACCAAGGAGUCUAACAUCUAUGCGAGUGUUUGGGUGUCAAACCCAUGCGCGUAAUGAAAGUGAACGGAGGUGGGAACCCCUCACGGGGUGCACCAUCGACCGAUCCUGAUGUCUUCGGAUGGAUUUGAGUAAGAGCAUAGCUGUUGGGACCCGAAAGAUGGUGAACUAUGCCUGAAUAGGGUGAAGCCAGAGGAAACUCUGGUGGAGGCUCGCAGCGGUUCUGACGUGCAAAUCGAUCGUCAAAUUUGGGUAUAGGGGCGAAAGA
rnacentral:rRNA from 2 species